AGCAGUAGGGAAUCUUCCACAAUGGACGAAAGUCUGGUGGAGCAACGCCGCGUGAGUGAAGAAGGGUUUCGGCUCGUAAAGCUCUGUUGGUAGUGAAGAAAGAUAGAGGUAGUGACUGGCCUUUAUUUGACGGUAAUUACUUAGAAAGUCACGGCUAACUACGUGCCAGCAGCCGCGGUAAUACGUAGGUGGCAAGCGUUGUCCGGAUUUAUUGGGCGUAAAGCGAGUGCAGGCGGUUCAAUAAGUCUGACGUGAAAGCCUUCGGCUCAACCGGAGAAUUGCAUCAGAAACUGUCGAACUUGAGUGCAGAAGAGGAGAGUGGAACUCCAUGUGUAGCGGUGGAAU
rnacentral:rRNA from 1 species